AGGAAGGAGAAGACACCCUGAAGGAUCUCAGAUUCCUCCCCCAGGUGCUUCUCCAGAUUCCUCUUCAGAGGUCAGCUUGGAGGAGGAGGAACCAGCCCCAGGCACCUCAGGAGGAUUCACUGACCAUCCUGGUGGCUCCAGGACCAGCAGCCUCUGGGACGUGGACUCCCUUGCUGACCUUCUGGAGGAGGAAUCAGAGGAUAGCUGGGAUCAGGAUGCAGAGGCUUCUGAGGCCAGCCUUUCUUCCAGUCCAUGGGUAACUUAACACUGGCAACGAAGGUGGAAUUCAUUGGAAAUUGAGGCCGAAAAAGAGCUGAUCUCUAAUGGGGCACCACCUAAGAACCGAUUUGGACCAACUACACCUGAAAUAUUCUUCAGAGGCACCCACUGACUAAACCAGCAAACUCUGGUCAUUCGCUAUGGGAAACAGGUUUAUACACAUAAUGACACUGGGGGUGCCCUCUGGAUUCCUGCUUGGAUUAUAACCAUAACAGGAACACAGUCCUACUGAGUGGAGAUGGAGGAUGGCAAAGUAUAGCGCUGCAACAUCAACCAACUGGGGAGUCAUUUGGACACCUCCGUCUGCCGCCAGCCAGAAUAGAUUCAAUGACUCCGAAGCUCCACCACAAACAGAGAUAGAAGUGCAACACAGGUACCUGUUGAACUGGGGGCCAGUCAGCAAAUAGUUCCGGCAGAACUGGUUCCCAUUGUGACAGAGAUCCCAGCAGCCGAGCCUCCAAUAUGGCCAAGGAUGGAUCCUGUAGCAGCAGCUGCGGCUCCACCUCUCCCAAAGACGGACUAAUUGAACUGCUCAGUCCGAGACAGGGUUCCGCCACCCCACCUAUCUACGGGACUACGAAUGCUAAAGUGCAUAACAUUUAGUUGCUGAAGUUCUCACUCAGGUCUGCUUUUGAAGUGGGAAAAUACUUUAAUCUGAUUGGUUGACCGGCUGACAGUUUCCUAUUUUUCGUGUGAACUUAAUAAAAAAGCUUUGCUGAAUUCA